GGUUCAUUCAAAUUUCUGCCCUAUCAACUUUCGAUGGUAAGGUAUUGGCUUACCAUGGUUUCAACUGGUAACGGGGAAUUAGGGUUCGAUUCCGGAGAGGGAGCCUGAGAAACGGUACCACAUCCAAGGAAGGCAGCAGGCGCGCAAAUUACCCAAUCCCGACCGGGGAGGUAGUGACAAUAAAUACUGAUACAGGGCUCUUUUGGGUCUUGUAAUUGGAAUGAGUACAAUUUAAACCUCUUAACGAGGAACAAUUGGAGGGCAAGUCUGGUGCCAGAAGCCGGGUAAUUCCAGCUCCAAUAGCGUAUAUAAAAGUUGUUGCAGUUAAAAAGCUCGUAGUUG
rnacentral:rRNA from 1 species